CCUACGGGCGGCUGCAGUGGGGAAUAUUGCACAAUGGGGGAAACCCUGAUGCAGCGACGCCGCGUGAGCGAAGAAGUAUCUCGGUAUGUAAAGCUCUAUCAGCAGGGAAGAAAAUGACGGUACCUUACUAAGAAGCCCCGGCUAACUACGGUCCAGCAGCCGCCGUAAUACGUAGGGGGCAAGCGUUAUCCGGAUUUACUGGGUGUAAAGGGAGCGUAGACGGCAGCACAAGUCUGGAGUGAAAUCCCGGGGCUUAACCCCGGAACUGCUUUGGAAACUGUGCGGCUAGAGUGCAGGAGGGGUAAGCGGAAUGCCUAGGGUAGCGGUGAAAUGCGUAGAUAUUAGGAGGAACUCCGAUUGCGAAGGCAGCUUACUAAACUGCAACUGACAUUGAUGCUCGAAAGUGUGGGUAUCAAACAGGAUUAGAUACCCCAGUAGUC
rnacentral:rRNA from 1 species